rnacentral:misc_RNA from 1 species
GAUGAAGAACGUAGUGAAAUGCGAUAAGUAAUGUGAAUUGCAGAAUUCAGUGAAUCAUCGAAUCUUUGAACGCACAUUGCGCCCCCUGGUAUUCCGGGGGGCAUGCCUGUCCGAGCGUCAUUACAACCCUCAAGCUCAGCUUGGUAUUGGGCCCCGCCGACCCGGCGGGCCCUAAAGUCAGUGGCGGUGCCGUCCGGCUCCGAGCGUAGUAAUUCUUCUCGCUCUGGAGGUCCGGUCGUGUGCUCGCCAGCAACCCCCAAUUUUUUUCAGGUUGACCUCGGAUCAGGUAGGGAUACCCGCUGAACUUAAGCAUAUCAAUAAGCGGAGGA